UGGGGGAUAUUGCACAAUGGGCGAAAGCCUGAUGCAGCGACGCCGCGUGGGGGAUGAAGGCCUUCGGGUUGUAAACUUCUUUUGCUCUGAACAAGGCGCACCAUGGGGUGUGUUGAGUGUAGGGGUUGAUUAGCGCCGGCUAACUACGUGCCAGCAGCCGCGGUAAUACGUAGGGCGCGAGCGUUGUCCGGAAUUAUUGGGCGUAAAGGGCUUGUAGGUGGCUGGUUGCGUCUGUCGUGAAAGCUCAUGGCUUUACUGUGGGUUUGCGGUGGGUACGGGCUGGCUGGAGUGCAGUAGGGGAGGCUGGAAUUCCUGGUGUAGCGGUGGAAUGCGCAGAUAUCAGGAGGAAUACCGGUGGCGAAGGCGGGUCUCUGGGCUGUUACUGACACUGAGGAGCGAAAGCAUGGGGAGCGAACAGG
rnacentral:rRNA from 1 species